rnacentral:rRNA from 1 species
UACGUAGGUGGCAAGCGUUGUCCGGAAUUAUUGGGCGUAAAGCGCGCGCAGGCGGUCCUUUAAGUCUGAUGUGAAAGCCCACGGCUCAACCGUGGAGGGUCAUUGGAAACUGGGGGACUUGAGUGCAGAAGAGGAAAGCGGAAUUCCACGUGUAGCGGUGAAAUGCGUAGAGAUGUGGAGGAACACCAGUGGCGAAGGCGGCUUUCUGGACGGUGACUGACGCUGAGACGCGAAAGCGUGGGGAGCAAACAGG